GUCCGAUUAGCUCGUUGGUGGGGUAACGGCUCACCAAGGCGACGAUCGGUAGGUGGUCUGAGAGGACGAUCACCCAGACUGGGACUGAGACACGGCCCAGACUCCUACGGGAGGCAGCAGUCGGGAAUUUUGCUCAAUGGGCGAAAGCCUGAAGCAGCAACGCCGCGUGAGGGAUGAAGGCCUUCGGGUCGUAAACCUCUUUUCUCAGGGACGAUAAUGACGGUACCUGAGGAAUAAGCCACGGCUAACUACGUGCCAGCAGCCGCGGUAAUACGUAGGUGGCGAGCGUUGUCCGGAUUUACUGGGCGUAAAGAGCGCGCAGGCGGUCGAGCAAGUCGGAUGUGAAAGCCCCCGGCUCAACUGGGGAGGGUCAUUCGAAACUGCUCGACUUGAAGGCGGGAGAGGGAAGCGGAAUUCCCGGUGUAGUGGUGAAAUGCGUAGAUAUCGGGAGGAACACCGGUGGCGAAGGCGGCUUCCUGG
rnacentral:rRNA from 1 species